AGAGUUUGAUCAUGGCUCAGGAUGAACGCUAGCGGCAGGCUUAACACAUGCAAGUCGAGGGGUAUAUGUCUUCGGAUAUAGAGACCGGCGCACGGGUGCGUAACGCGUAUGCAAUCUACCUUUUACAGGGGAAUAGCCCAGAGAAAUUUGGAUUAAUGCCCCAUAGUAUUAUAGAAUGGCAUCAUUUUAUAAUUAAAGUCACAACGGUAAAAGAUGAGCAUGCGUCCCAUUAGUUAGUUGGUAAGGUAACGGCUUACCAAGACAAUGAUGGGUAGGGGUCCUGAGAGGGGGAUCCCCCACACUGGUACUGAGACACGGACCAGACUCCUACGGGAGGCAGCAGUGAGGAAUAUUGGACAAUGGGCGCAAGCCUGAUCCAGCCAUGCCGCGUGCAGGAAGACGGUCCUAUGGAUUGUAAACUGCUUUUAUACAGGAAGAAACACUCCCUCGUGAGGGAGCUUGACGGUACUGUAGGAAUAAGGAUCGGCUAACUCCGUGCCAGCAGCCGCGGUAAUACGGAGGAUCCAAGCGUUAUCCGGAAUCAUUGGGUUUAAAGGGUCCGUAGGCGGUUUAAUAAGUCAGUGGUGAAAUCUGGUCGCUCAACGAUCAAACGGCCAUUGAUACUGUUAGACUUGAAUUAUUAGGAAGUAACUAGAAUAUGUAGUGUAGCGGUGAAAUGCUUAGAUAUUACAUGGAAUACCAAUUGCGAAGGCAGGUUACUACUAAUGGAUUGACGCUGAUGGACGAAAGCGUGGGGAGCGAACAGGAUUAGAUACCCUGGUGGUCCACGCCGUAAACGAUGGAUACUAGCUGUUGGGAGCAAUCUCAGUGGCUAAGAGAAAGUGAUAAGUAUCCCACCUGGGGAGUACGUUCGCAAGAAUGAAACUCAAAGGAAUUGACGGGGGCCCGCACAAGCGGUGGGGCAUGUGGUUUAAUUCGAUGAUACGCGAGGAACCUUACCAAGGCUUAAAUGUAGUUUGACCGGUUUGGAAACAGAUCUUUCGCAAGACAAAUUACAAGGUGCUGCAUGGUUGUCGUCAGCUCGUGCCGUGAGGUGUCAGGUUAAGUCCUAUAACGAGCGCAACCCCUGUUGUUAGUUGCCAGCGAGUCAUGUCGGGAACUCUAACAAGACUGCCAGUGUAAACUGUGAGGAAGGUGGGGAUGACGUCAAAUCAUCACGGCCCUUACGCCUUGGGCUACACACGUGCUACAAUGGACGGUACAGAGAGCAGCCACUUCGCAAGGAGGAGCGAAUCUACAAAACCGUUCUCAGUUCGGAUCGGAGUCUGCAACUCGACUCCGUGAAGCUGGAAUCGCUAGUAAUCGGAUAUCAGCCAUGAUCCGGUGAAUACGUUCCCGGGCCUUGUACACACCGCCCGUCAAGCCAUGGAAGCUGGGGGUACCUGAAGUCGGUGACCGCAAGGAGCUGCCUAGGGUAAAACUGGUAACUAGGGCUAAGUCGUAACAAGGUA
rnacentral:rRNA from 1 species